AUGGAGAACUUGCUUCAGAGUGUGCUAGCACGUAUUAUAAAUAUGGAUGUGCCUUGCUAUACAAAUCACAGGAGGAGACCGAUCCUUUGGGUAAUGUUCCAAAGAGUGCACCAGAUGAAGAACCAGAGAAGAGCACAACCAAUAAAGAUAGUGGAAACUCAAAGGCAUCCAGUAGCAACAUCGAAGAUGAUGAUCCAUCUUCAGACAAAGGUGGUGUUGAAGAAGGUGAAAACUCAAAUGAGAAAGAUCAGGAGGAUGUAG
rnacentral:rRNA from 1 species